UACCAGCACCCCGAGUGGUCGGGACGAUUAUUGGGCCUAAAGCAUCCGUAGCCGGUCCUGCAAGUCUUCCGUUAAAUCCAGCUGCUCAACAGAUGGGCUGCGGAGGAUACUACGUGGCUAGGAGGCGGGAGAGGCAAGCGGUACUCAGUGGGUAGGGGUAAAAUCCUUUGAUCCAUUGAAGACCACCAGUGGCGAAGGCGGCUUGCCAGAACGCGCUCGACGGUGAGGGAUGAAAGCUGGGGGAGCAAACCGG
rnacentral:rRNA from 1 species